rnacentral:piRNA from 1 species
UCAAUAAAUAGAGGCUAGCAUAUGCCAGGAU